AGUGUAGUUAUAGAUUACGAAGUUAAAAAAGCAAUACAUGAUUUGGUCCAAGGCCACUACAAAGAACCAUGGACCGGAUGGGGAAAAGUGAUUAGAGAUGUGAGACAGAGAAUGUUCACAGCUUUUAGGUCACAGCAUGAGUCUAUGAUAUUAUGUCAUUUCAACCAUGAGGCGAGUGAGUGGUUGAAAAAACAUUUGUACCUUGCUCGCACUCUUUACAAGGCUCCACUUGAGUGGAUGACCCCUUCGGUUUGGGAGAGUUUGCAAAAAUAUUGGGGGUCGGAAGAGUUCAAGAAAAUAAGUGAGCAAAACAAAAAGAACAAGGCAAUAAAUGGAAGUUCUUCGAUUGUAAUCUAUCGUGGUGGAUCUGUCAGCACUGCUGUACAC